rnacentral:rRNA from 1 species
AGUGAACGCUGGCGGUAGGCCUAACACAUGCAAGUCGAACGGCAGCACAGUAAGAGCUUGCUCUUACGGGUGGCGAGUGGCGGACGGGUGAGGAAUACAUCGGAAUCUACUUUUUCGUGGGGGAUAACGUAGGGAAACUUACGCUAAUACCGCAUACGACCUACGGGUGAAAGCAGGGGAUCUUCGGACCUUGCGCGAUUGAAUGAGCCGAUGUCGGAUUAGCUAGUUGGCGGGGUAAAGGCCCACCAAGGCGACGAUCCGUAGCUGGUCUGAGAGGAUGAACAGCCAAACUGGAACUGAGACACGGUCCCGACUCCUACGGGAGGCAGCAGUGGGGAAUAUUGGACAAUGGGCGCAAGCCUGAUCCAGCCAUACCGCGUGGGUGAAGAAGGCCUUCGGGUUGGAAAGCCCUUUUGUUGGGAAAGAAAAGCAGCAGGUUAAUACCCCGCUGUUCUGACGGUACCCAAAGAAUAAGCACCGGCUAACUUCGUG